GAUUGCUUCCAGCUUGACCAAGCUCAGGCUGGCAAGCCCUCGAUCGAGGGACCCAGCGCCCAACGCUUUCCUGGAGUGGAGGUAUUUUAUGCCUUAAGCUGAUCAGCGUUGGGGAAGAUGAAGCACGCAAACUGCCUUGAAAUAUUUAUGAAGCUAUUUUAGCAAAAGGAGCAGAAGAAAAGAUACACACAAACCACAUACCCCAACUGAUGAGGAAUAGGAUUCAAGGGGCAUGAUCCUCUCGGUGUCAGCUAGAGUCCCAGCAGGAGACAGAAACCACACGGAAACCAGCUCCAUCCUGUCUCCAAACUCCAGACUCCCGGAGGAGAGACCUGGAAAGGCUGGGAACACCCCCAGUGCACCCCUGCCCUGAGGUCUUGCCGUUGGGCCUGGAUGCAAACGGUGAUUGAUGGCAACUGAAACCGUAGGAGGCUUGGGGGAAUGUAGCUGUGGAACAGUUCACGUCCUACUGCUCAACAAAUCUGGCUGCUCACUGUCAUAAUAAUGAAGAAUGGGAAGAAAUCCACAUGCCCUCCAAAAUUAAAAGAAAGGAAAAACAACUGAAAAGCCAAGAUUCCAUGUAACCGCUGUAUGAAUCCUGUUGCAGGAAAAUGUCCCAUGGCUCCAGCAAAUACUUCCCCUUUAAUUUUAAGUUAAAAAUUUGUCCGCUUACGUACACAUUCACAUAUGAACAAACAUUUGAAGAUCUUAUACCAAGUAUUAAUGAUGCUUGUGGUGAGGUGAUAGGCUACAGCAAAUGUAAUGAC